UCAAAAUAUUGGGACAUAUAAAAAAAGACAACUCUGUUCCACAGAGUAGUUGUUGACAUUAUAGUUGCUCAGGCACUUUAACUCUAGAGAACCUCGGGCCAAUCGCACAUCCCCGUGACAGCGACUUUGCAUUUGGAUGUCAUCCAUAUCAACUUUCGAUGCCAGUUUCUGCGCCUACCAUGGUGACCACAGGUAACUGGAAAUCAGGGUUCCAUUCCGUACAGGGACCCUGAGAAACAGCUACCACAUGCAAGGAAGGCAGCAGGCAUGCAAAUGACCCACUCCCAACGCGGGAAGGUAGUGACGA
rnacentral:rRNA from 1 species